UGGGGAAUAUUGCACAAUGGGCGCAAGCCUGAUGCAGCCAUGCCGCGUGUGUGUAGAAGGCCUUCGGGUUGUAAAGCACUUUCAGCGGGGAGGAAGGCGUUAAGGUUAAUAACCUUGGCGAUUGACGUUACCCGCAGAAGAAGCACCGGCUAACUCCGUGCCAGCAGCCGCGGUAAUACGGAGGGUGCAAGCGUUAAUCGGAAUUACUGGGCGUAAAGCGCACGCAGGCGGUCUGUCAAGUCGGAUGUGAAAUCCCCGGGCUCAACCUGGGAACUGCAUUCGAAACUGGCAGGCUAGAGUCUUGUAGAGGGGGGUAGAAUUCCAGGUGUAGCGGUGAAAUGCGUAGAGAUCUGGAGGAAUACCGGUGGCGAAGGCGGCCCCCUGGACAAAGACUGACGCUCAGGUGCGAAAGCGUGGGGAGCAAACAGG
rnacentral:rRNA from 1 species